UACGAAGGGGGCUAGCGUUGCUCGGAAUCACUGGGCGUAAAGCGCACGUAGGCGGAUUGUUAAGUCAGGGGUGAAGUCCUGGAGCUCAACUCCAGAACUGCCUUUGAUACUGGCGAUCUUGAGUCCGGGAGAGGUGAGUGGAACUCCGAGUGUAGAGGUGAAAUUCGUAGAUAUUCGGAAGAACACCAGUGGCGAAGGCGGCUCACUGGCCCGGUACUGACGCUGAUGUGCGAAAGCGUGGGGAGCAAACAGG
rnacentral:rRNA from 1 species